rnacentral:snRNA from 1 species
AUCGCUUCUUGGCCUUUUGGCUAAGAUCAAGUGAAAAUGUGCUUCCUUUAGGGGAAUAGAAGAAUUUGAAAUUUUGCCUCGAGAAAAAUGAAUAUUUACGUGUAUACUGAUUUAUUUCACAUUUUUAUUAUGUUAAAUUCUUUUCAAAAAGGAUCCAUCUU